rnacentral:lncRNA from 1 species
AACCAUAUGACAGGAUCUUCAAUUCAUGACACACAUCUCUCUGGAUCUAGUCAAAGCCUUUUACCACCACUUGCACAAAGACCGCAACAGCUAAACCGCCCUCCACAUAGUCAGUUUCCCGUUCAACAGUCUUCUAAACAACCUUUUAGUCAGAUUCCACAACCAGGCGUGAAUCCUCCUCCUAGAUCCCAAGUUAAAGGUCUCAGCGAAACCGCUGCUCCAUUCCAACGCCAAAAACAAGUGGUUCCAGCUUCUAAUGCUAUCCAACCAUCUCAAGUACCUCGGCCACCAUUAACAAGCUCUGUGAUGCAGGUGCGUUUUCAGUGGGCUAUAUGAUCCUAUUCAUUACUUUCUUACUUUUAUUUGUGUGUUUAGAUUCUCUGUGGAGAUUACUUAACAUCUGUGUAUAUACACAUAUAUAUACUUUACAGCAAGGUGGGCAAAUGGCAUCACUACACUAUGGCAAAAGAAUAAACAAUGAGGGACCUCAUGAAUCAAUAGAUAGACCAUCGAAGAUGAUGAGAGUGGACGAUCGGAGAACCACUCCAUUUCAUACAGGCCAUGCGUCUAACACAAUGCUUCCAAAUCCACUACAGCUACAAGAGAAAGCGCCUCAGGUACCACCAGUUCACAUAAUUUGGAAGCUUAAUUAGAUGAAAGAAUUGUUUGAUUGAUUGUUUUUUUUUUGGUCUAGGCACUUCUGUCCCCGGAUGUUCAGUCAACAUUGCUCCAGCAAGUGAUGAACCUUACGCCGGAUCAGCUGAGGAUGCUGACCCCAGAACAACAGCAAGAGGUGCUGAAGCUGCAGCAAGCUCUCAAGCAACAGGACCACGUGAUGCAGCCUUCAUAGCUUUGAGGUUGUUCUCUUAUAUGCAAAUCACCAUAGAAAGAAAGCUCUCUCUCACACCUGAAGUUGGAGAGUGAAUGUAUUAUUAGUGUAAGCAUUUAUUUGUCGUAUAGAAGAACUGUGCAGCCAUCAAAAUAUAAAGGAAAAAGAGAAAGUUAUACGUCCAAACAACUGUGUUCUAUCUCUUUCCUUCUCUUUGUUAUUUCGUCUUUUGUUUUCUGCUCAAGUCAAACUCUCCUCCAUUCGUUUUCAUCAUGUGGACACUACUAGUUUGGUCAUUGGUGAAGAUUUUUAGUACUUUUAGUGAAUAAAACAUUUUACUUCUUCAAUGAAUAAGAAUUGCGACUAAGCUUACAAAUAUGCAAAUGAGAUUAGAUAAAACAUUACAGUACUGCGUUUGAAUAAUAAAUCACAUGUAUACUGUCUGUUGGCUUCAACUGAUUUCUAAUACUGGAACCUUGUAGGCGGCUUAACAAUAACAGUCUCACUGGGUCUAUUCCCAUGUCCUUGACCAAUAUUACUCCCCUUCUUCAAGUGUUGUGAGUUUUCUCAGCAACAUUCAUUUAAAUCUGCUUUAUUCACCUUUCAGUUGGUUUGUUUGAGUUAAUGCACUUAACCUUGAUGGAUGCAACACAGAGAUGUAUCAAAUAGCCAACUCUCUGGUUCGGUUCCUCACAAAUCACAAUGGCUCCUUCUCACUCUUCACACUUCUUCUGGCAAUGUCUGAACUUCUCAUUUUCAUCUGGGGCAGCUCAAGAGAUUUUCUUUGCGGGAUAGCAAGCGACGGUUUCAGUAACAAGAACAUUCUAGGAAGAGGUGAGUUCGGGAAAGUAUACAAGGGCAAACAGAGUUAACAGACGGAACUCUUGUUGCUGUCAAGAUAAUGAAAGAAGAGCGAAUCCCAGGCGGAGAACUCCAGUUUCAGACAGAAGUAGAGAUGAAUAAGUAUGGCAGUUCUUCCAAACCUCUCGAGAUUACAAGGUUUCUAUAUGACAAGCGUUGUUUCUUGUUUAGGUGGAAAGGGUUGUUGAAGGAGAAGAAGCUCGAGAUGUUGGUGGAUCCUGAUCUUUAAACGAACUAUAAGGAAAGAGAACUGGAACAAGAGAUUCAAGUGGCAUUACUUUGCACGCAAGGAUCUCCAAUGGAACGACCAAUGACGUCAGAAGGCUGUAAGGACGCUUGAAGGAGAUGGGCUCGCUGAGAAAUAGGGACGAGUGGCAGAAAGUUUAAGAUUUUGAGGGAAGAGAUCGACUUGAGUCCUAAUCCUCACUCUGAUUAGAUCAUUGAUUCUACUUAAAAUCUGCACGCCAUUGAGUUAUCUGGUCCCAGAUAAAACACAAACAUACAAAAUUGAAAUAAAAGUUAGUAGCCUUGUAACCAGUAAUUGGAUCAUAAUCUAAAGAUGUUUGUUGUCUCUAAUGUAAGAACAAGAAUGUUAUCAUUGUUUGGUGACAGAGUCUCAAAAGCAGGUUGGAGGGGCUGUGGAUUCGAGUAUGCAUCAGCCGGUUUGUGUCCACCUUGCUAUGCAGGCUGCGUCUGUUAUGGCAGGUGCGCUAGGUGGUCCACAGGUCGGUUCGCAAAGUACGCUGCAGGUUCCAGCUAGUGAUCCCCUGACUCUUCAUCUUGCCAAGAUGUCUAGAACUCAGCUCUCUGAAAUUAUAACGUCCAUUAAGGUGUGAAGUUGUUCCCUUGAUUGUGUAUUGACGCAGUGUUGAACUAUUGUGUACGAAUGGUGUGAAUGUGAUUGUGACUGUGUUUUGUUCUUAAUGGUCAGUUAAUGGCUACGCAGAAUAAGGAAGAAGCUCGACAGUUGUUGGUUUCAAGACCUCACUUGCUAAAAGCUGUCUUUCUGGUACUACUUUCACAUCUCCUGAUUCUGCAAAUCAUUUGUCUCUUGUGCAAUCUUUCCAAUGCUAUAAUAAGGUAGUGUUGGUGAUAUAUCAUGGAAGUUAGGAGGGAACAAUCAGUUUAGUUUCGCCAUUUACUGACCUUAGUAUUCCCUUAACUAGAUGAGUCAAUCUCCCAGGGUGUAUUACAUUAUGUUUUGUACACCAUCUUUUGAACCUAUACCUUCUCUGCUAUUGUAGGCACAAAUAAUGCUUGGAAUUGUGAGUCCACAAGUCGUAAGUUUCCAUCUCUCUGAAUAGUUUUGUGCGUCUUCCUUAUCUAUCUAUGUGCUAUUUCUUAAGAGGGCUGUUUCCAUUCUUGAACUGUGCAGUUGCAGACGCCAAAUAUUGUUCAGGCCCCAAACCAUAUGACAGGAUCUUCAAUUCAUGACACACAUCUCUCUGGAUCUAGUCAAAGCCUUUUACCACCACUUGCACAAAGACCGCAACAGCUAAACCGCCCUCCACAUAGUCAGUUUCCCGUUCAACAGUCUUCUAAACAACCUUUUAGUCAGAUUCCACAACCAGGCGUGAAUCCUCCUCCUAGAUCCCAAGUUAAAGGUCUCAGCGAAACCGCUGCUCCAUUCCAACGCCAAAAACAAGUGGUUCCAGCUUCUAAUGCUAUCCAACCAUCUCAAGUACCUCGGCCA